rnacentral:rRNA from 1 species
UACGGAGUGUGCAAGCGUUACUCGGAAUCACUGGGCCUAAAGCGCGCGUAGGCGGGUUUCCAAGUCGGUUGUGAAAUCCCUCAGCUCAACUGAGGAACUGCAUCCGAUACUGUUUGUCUUGAGGACGAGAGGGGAGAGUGGAACUUCUGGUGAAGCGGUGAAAUGCGUAGAUAUCAGAAGGAACGCCGGUGGCGAAAGCGACUCUCUGGCUCGUAACUGACGCUGAGGUGCGAAAGCUUGGGUAGCAAACGGG